AGCUCCAAAAGCGUAUAUUAAAGUUGUUGCAGUUAAAAAGCUCGUAGUUGGAUUUCUGGUUGAAUGCGCCUGGCCCGCCUCGUCUAGAGUGUGAGUGCCGGACGCGCGUUUGCCAUCCUUCCAGUGUACCGGCCCUGCCCCUUGAUUGGGAUGGGAUGUCCGUUGUCCUGGAUCUUUUACUUUGAAAAAAUUAGAGUGUUUAAAGCAGGCAAUUGCUAUGAAUACAUUAGCAUGGAAUAAUAAUUUAGGACUUCGGUUCUAUUUUGUUGGUUUCUAGUACUGAAGUAAUGAUUGAUAGGGAUAGUUGGGGGUGCUAGUAUUCAGCGGCCAGAGGUGAAAUUCUUGGAUUCGCUGAAGACUAACUUAUGCGAAAGCAUUCACCAAGGAUGUCUUCUUUAAU
rnacentral:rRNA from 1 species